rnacentral:rRNA from 1 species
GAGUUUGAUCCUGGCUCAGGAUGAACGCUGGCGGCGUGCUUAACACAUGCAAGUCGAACGGGAAACUUUUCAUUGAAGCUUCGGCAGAUUUGGUCUGUUUCUAGUGGCGGACGGGUGAGUAACGCGUGGGUAACCUGCCCUGUACAGGGGGAUAACAGUCAGAAAUGACUGCUAAUACCGCAUAAGACCACAGCACCGCAUGGUGCAGGGGUAAAAACUCCGGUGGUACAGGAUGGACCCGCGUCUGAUUAGCUGGUUGGUGAGGUAACGGCUCACCAAGGCGACGAUCAGUAGCCGGCUUGAGAGAGUGAACGGCCACAUUGGGACUGAGACACGGCUCAAACUCCUACGGGAGGCAGCAGUGGGGAAUAUUGCACAAUGGGGGAAACCCUGAUGCAGCGACGCCGCGUGAGUGAAGAAGUAUCUCGGUAUGUAAAGCUCUAUCAGCAGGGAAGAAAAUGACGGUACCUGACUAAGAAGCCCCGGCUAACUACGUGCCAGCCGCCGCGGUAAUAC